rnacentral:rRNA from 1 species
GACGAACGCUGGCGGCGUGCCUAAUACAUGCAAGUAGAACGCUGAAGGAGGAGCUUGCUCUUCUGGAAGAGUUGCGAACGGGUGAGUAACGCGUAGGUAACCUGCCUGGUAGCGGGGGAUAACUAUUGGAAACGAUAGCUAAUACCGCAUAAUAUUGAAUAUCGCAUGAUAAUUGAUUAAAAGAUGCAAUUGCAUCACUACCAGAUGGACCUGCGUUGUAUUAGCUAGUAGGUGAGGUAACGGCUCACCUAGGCGACGAUACAUAGCCGACCUGAGAGGGUGAUCGGCCACACUGGGACUGAGACACGGCCCAGACUCCUACGGGAGGCAGCAGUAGGGAAUCUUCGGCAAUGGGGGCAACCCUGACCGAGCAACGCCGCGUGAGUGAAGAAGGUUUUCGGAUCGUAAAGCUCUGUUGUAAGAGAAGAACGAGUGUGAGAGUGGAAAGUUCACACUGUGACGGUAUCUUACCAGAAAGGGACGGCUAACUACGUGCCAGCAGCCGCGGUAAUACGUAGGUCCCGAGCGUUGUCCGGAUUUAUUGGGCGUAAAGCGAGCGCAGGCGGUUAGAUAAGUCUGAAGUUAAAGGCUGUGGCUUAACCAUAGUACGCUUUGGAAACUGUUUAACUUGAGUGCAGAAGGGGAGAGUGGAAUUCCAUGUGUAGCGGUGAAAUGCGUAGAUAUAUGGAGGAACACCGGUGGCGAAAGCGGCUCUCUGGUCUGUAACUGACGCUGAGGCUCGAAAGCGUGGGGAGCGAACAGG